GACGAACGCUGGCGGCGUGCCUAAUACAUGCAAGUAGAACGCAGUUGCGAACGGGUGAGUAACGCGUAGGUAACUGCCUCAUAGCGGGGGAUAACUAUUGGAAACGAUAGCUAAUACCGCCUACUGAGAGAUGGACAUGCGUUUUAUUAGCUAGUUGGGGAGGUAAAGGCUCACCAAGGCGACGAUACAUAGCCGACCUGGGAGGGUGGUCGGCCAAACUGGGGACGAGACACGGGCCAAGCUCCUACGGGGAGCAGGCGGAGGGAAUUGUCGGAAAUGGACGGAAGUCUGACCGAUCAACGCCGCUGUAGGUAAGAAGGUUUUCGGAGCGUAAAGGUCUUUUGUGAGAGAAGCGGUAACUAACCAGAAAGGGACGGCUAACUACGUGCCAGCAGCCGCGGUAAUAC
rnacentral:rRNA from 1 species